UACGUAGGGCGCGAGCGUUGUCCGGAAUUAUUGGGCGUAAAGAGCUCGUAGGCGGCCUGUUGCGUCCGCUGUGAAAUCCCGGGGCUCAACCCCGGGCUUGCAGUGGAUACGGGCUGGCUAGAGGGAGGCAGGGGAGAACGGAAUUCCCGGUGUAGCGGUGAAAUGCGCAGAUAUCGGGAGGAACACCGGUGGCGAAGGCGGUUCUCUGGGCCUGUACUGACGCUGAGGAGCGAAAGCGUGGGGAGCGAACAGG
rnacentral:rRNA from 1 species